rnacentral:rRNA from 1 species
CUGCUCAAUGAAAUAUUUUUUAAUAGCUGCAGUAUAAAUAACUGUACAAAGGUAGCAUAAUAAUUAGAUUUUUAAUUAAAAUCUAGAAUGAAAGAUUAAAUGAAAAAUAAACUAUCUUUAAAAAAUUAAUAUUUAAAUUAAAAUUUAAUUAAAAAAAAUUAAUUAAAUUUAAAAGACAAGAAGACCCUAUAGAAUUUUAUAAAUUUAUUUAAAUUAUUUAUUUAAUUUAUUUAAUUGGGAUAAUUUAAAAAUAUAAAUAAUUUUUUUUUAAAAAAAACAAAUUAACUAUGAAAUAUUUAAACUAGAUGUAUUAAAUUAAAAUAAAUUACCUUAGGGAUAACAGAAUAAUUUUUUUUAAAAGAACAUAUUAAAAAAAAAGAUUAUUACCUCGAUGUUGAAUUAAGAUAAAAUAUAAAUGAAAAAAUUUAUAAAUUUAAGUCUGUUCGACU